GAUCCUGGCUCAGGAUGAACGCUAGCGGCAGGCUUAACACAUGCAAGUCGAGGGGCAGCAUAAUGGUAGCAAUACUAUUGAUGGCGACCGGCGGACGGGUGCGUAACGCGUAUGCAACCUACCCUUUACAGGGGAGUAACACUGAGAAAUACGGUACUAAUACCCCACUAAUAUUCUUGGGAGGGCAUCUUUCGGGUUUGGUAAGACUUGGUUGGGUUAAAGGGAAGUGGGCGAUGCGUUGGUUAUUAGUCUAGUUGGUUAAGGGUAAACGGG
rnacentral:rRNA from 1 species